rnacentral:rRNA from 1 species
UACGUAGGGGGCGAGCGUUAUCCGGAUUUAUUGGGCGUAAAGCGUGUGUAGGCGGUUUAUUAAGUAUAAGAUCAAAGCCUGGAGCUCAACUCCAGUAAGUCUUAUAAACUGGUAGACUAGAGUAUGGUAGAGGCAAGUGGAAUUUCUAGUGUAGCGGUAAAAUGCGUAGAUAUUAGAAGGAACACCAGUGGCGAAGGCGGCUUGCUGGGCCAGAACUGACGCUGAGACACGAAAGCGUGGGGAGCAAAUAGG